rnacentral:tRNA from 1 species
GGCUCCGUAGCUCAGUGGAUUAGAGCAACGGUCUUCUAAACCGUAGGUCGCAGGUUCGAAUCCUGCCGGAGUCGCCA